GACUCUCGACAAUGAAUAUAUCAGCUCUCGCAUCAAUUAAGAACGUAGCGAAAUGUGAUACUUGGUGUGAAUUGCAAAAUAUCGUCAACCCUCGCUCUUUGAAUUCAUGUUGCACCCGAAGCCAUUAGGCCAAGGGGAGCUCUGCCUGGGCAUCA
rnacentral:rRNA from 1 species